rnacentral:rRNA from 1 species
GCUUGCUUUUUGAGCUUAGUGGCGAACGGGUGAGUAACGCGUGAGUAACCUGCCCUGGAGUGGGGGACAACAGUUGGAAACGACUGCUAAUACCGCAUAAGCCCACGGAUCCGCAUGGAUCUGCGGGAAAAGGAUUUAUUCGCUUCAGGAUGGACUCGCGUCCAAUUAGCUAGUUGGUGAGGUAACGGCCCACCAAGGCGACGAUUGGUAGCCGGACUGAGAGGUUGAACGGCCACAUUGGGACUGAGACACGGCCCAGACUCCUACGGGAGGCAGCAGUGGGGGAUAUUGCACAAUGGGGGAAACCCUGAUGCAGCGACGCCGCGUGGAGGAAGAAGGUUUUCGGAUUGUAAACUCCUGUCGUUAGGGACGAUAAUGACGGUACCUAACAAGAAAGCACCGGCUAACUACGUGCCAGCAGCCGCGGUAAAACGUAGGGUGCAAGCGUUGUCCGGAAUUACUGGGUGUAAAGGGAGCGCAGGCGGACCGGCAAGUUGGAAGUGAAAACUAUGGGCUCAACCCAUAAAUUGCUUUCAAAACUGCUGGCCCUUGAGUAGUGCAGAGGUAGGUGGAAUUCCCCGGUGUAGCCGGUGGAAU